UUCUGACGAGCCUUUGGCAGGGCGCUGUGCCGGAGUUCUCCAAACCUGACUUCUCUUCUGCGUGUCACCCCAUCCAUUUGCAAGAAGAAGCGAGCAGCAGUGAUGCUCACAUCCCUUAGGCAUUAUCCAGGCGACCUCGUGCCGGCGCUGGAUGCGUUUUGGGCGGUGAGCAGGAGCGAGCAGGGCUGUGUUGGGACCACACUGAUGGGCUUCUGGAUCUUUUUGUCACGGACCUUAAGGACCAGACAGCCAAGAGAAAUGCCUUCACCCAGCAAGAAGAGCAGGGGAUGUGCUUGUCACCAUCACCAGUGAGUGGUGGAGGUGGCCCAGAACGGUGCCGGAUGCUGCCCAGGUUGGCCCAGCCGCUGCCUCCCACCUCCGGGAAGAGAAUGCCGGCUCCUCCAGGCAUGGCUCCCAG
ensembl:lncRNA